GCCAUUUGGCGGUCGUAGAGCUGGUUAGCACCAGUUUUUUGCGCUGGGGGUAGAAAUGGCC
rnacentral:tRNA from 1 species